rnacentral:rRNA from 1 species
CUAAUACAUGCAAGUCGAGCGAACGGACGAGAAGCUUGCUUCUCUGAUGUUAGCGGCGGACGGGUGAGUAACACGUGGAUAACCUACCUAUGAGACUGGGAUAACUUCGGGAAACCGGAGCUAAUACCGGAUAAUAUUUUGAACCGCAUGGUUCAAAAGUGAAAGACGGUCUUGCUGUCACUUAUAGAUGGAUCCGCGCUGCAUUAGCUAGUUGGUAAGGUAACGGCUUACCAAGGCAACGAUGCAUAGCCGACCUGAGAGGGUGAUCGGCCACACUGGAACUGAGACACGGUCCAGACUCCUACGGGAGGCAGCAGUAGGGAAUCUUCCGCAAUGGGCGAAAGCCUGACGGAGCAACGCCGCGUGAGUGAUGAAGGUCUUCGGAUCGUAAAACUCUGUUAUUAGGGAAGAACAUAUGUGUAAGUAACUGUGCACAUCUUGACGGUACCUAAUCAGAAAGCCACGGCUAACUACGUGCCAGCAGCCGCGGUAAUACGUAGGUGGCAAGCGUUAUCCGGAAUUAUUGGGCGUAAAGCGCGCGUAGGCGGUUUUUUAAGUCUGAUGUGAAAGCCCACGGCUCAACCGUGGAGGGUCAUUGGAAACUGGAAAACUUGAGUGCAGAAGAGGAAAGUGGAAUUCCAUGUGUAGCGGUGAAAUGCGCAGAGAUAUGGAGGAACACCAGUGGCGAAGGCGACUUUCUGGUCUGUA